CCUACGGGUGGCAGCAGUGGGGAAUAUUGGUCAAUGGGCGCAAGCCUGAACCAGCCAAGUAGCGUGAAUGAUGACUGCCCUACGGGUUUUAAGCACUUUUUAUAAAGGAAUAAAGUGUGGCGUGUGUGCCUUUUUGGAUGUACUUUAUGAAUAAGGAUAGGCUCACUCCGUGCCAGCAGCCGCGGUAAUACGGAGGAUCCGAGCGUUACCCGGAUUUAUUGGGUUUAAAGGGAGCGUAGACGGGUUGUUAAGUCAGAUGUGAAAGUUCGCGGCUCAACCGUAAAAUUGCAAUUGAUACUGGCAGUCUUGAGUACAGUUGAGGGAGGCGGAAUUCGAGGUGUAGCGGUGAAAUGCUUAGAUAUCACGAAGAACUCCGAUUGCGAAGGCAGCUUACUAGACUAAGACUGACAUUGAUGCUCGAAAGUGUGGGUAGCAAACAGGAUUAGAUACCCGAGUAGUC
rnacentral:rRNA from 1 species